rnacentral:rRNA from 1 species
UACGAAGGGGGCUAGCGUUGUUCGGAAUUACUGGGCGUAAAGGGCUUGUAGGUGGCCAACUAAGUCAGACGUGAAAUCCCUCGGCUUAACCGGGGAACUGCGUCUGAUACUGGAUGGCUUGAGUUUGGGAGAGGGAUGCGGAAUUCCAGGUGUAGCGGUGAAAUGCGUAGAUAUCUGGAGGAACACCGGUGGCGAAGGCGGCAUCCUGGACCAAUACUGACACUGAGGAGCGAAAGCCAGGGGAGCAAACGGG